rnacentral:piRNA from 1 species
AUUGUAGACAUCAAGGGAAUGGGCAC